rnacentral:lncRNA from 1 species
UGGUCUUAUAUGAUCUCCCCUAAGCUCUGUAUCUGGGUUUAUCCUAAUUGCUGGUCUUCUAGGUACAUUACCUGUACUAUAAUCUAUUGGUUGGGGAUUAGGGUUUGUUUGUUGGAAUGGGCUAGCACUUGAGGAGCUAGUUGGUUCUAAUUCUGCCAGUUCUUUAUAACUGAUGGUAGAACUUAAUAUAGAGAUUGUG